rnacentral:misc_RNA from 1 species
GAUGAAGAACGUAGCGAAAUGCGAUAAGUAAUGUGAAUUGCAGAAUUCAGUGAGUCAUCGAAUCUUUGAACGCACAUUGCGCCCUCUGGUAUUCCGGGGGGCAUGCCUGUUCGAGCGUCAUUAUAACCACUCAAGCUCUCGCUUGGUAUUGGGGUUCGCGGUUUCGCGGCCCCUAAAAUCAGUGGCGGUGCCUGUCGGCUCUACGCGUAGUAAUACUUCUCGCGAUUGAGUUCGAUAGGUCUACUUGCCAGUAACCCCCAAUUUUUACAGGUUGACCUCGGAUCAGGUAGGGAUACCCGCUGAACUUAAGCAUAUCAAUAAGCGGAGGA